rnacentral:lncRNA from 1 species
CUGGGGUGGAAAGGUAGACCUACUCUGUCUGGGGUGGAAAGGUAGGCCUACUCUGUCUGGGGUGGAAAGGUAGGUCUACUCUGUCUGGGGUGGAAAGGUAGACCUACUCUGUCUGGGGUGGAAAGGUAGACCUACUCUGUCUGGGGUGGAAAGGUAGGUCUACUCUGUCUGGGGUGGAAAGGUAGGUCUACUCUGUCUGGGGUGGAAAGGUAGGUCUACUCUGUCUGGGGUGGAAAGGUAGGCCUACUCUGUCUGGGGUGGAAAGGUAGGCCUUCUCUGUCUGGGGUGGAAAGGUAGGCCUAUUCUGUCUGGGGUGGAAAGGUAGGUCUACUCUGUCUGGGGUGGAAAGGUAGGUCUACUCUGUCUGGGGUGGAAAGGUAGGUCUACUCUGUCUGGGGUGGAAAGGUAGGC